UAAUACGGAGGGUGCAAGCGUUAUCCGGAUUCACUGGGUUUAAAGGGUGCGUAGGUGGAUUGCCAAGUCCGUGGUGAAAUCUUCGAGCUUAACUCGGAAACUGCCGUGGAUACUGGUAAUCUUGAAUAUCGUGGAGGUUAGCGGAAUAUGUCAUGUAGCGGUGAAAUGCUUAGAUAUGACAUAGAACACCAAUUGCGAAGGCAGCUGGCUACGCGAAUAUUGACACUGAGGCACGAAAGCGUGGGGAUCAAACAGGAUUAGAUACCCUGGUAGUCCACGCCCUAAACUAUGGAUACUCGACAUACGCGAUACACUGUGUGUGUCUGAGCGAAAGCAUUAAGUAUCCCACCUGGGAAGUACGACCGCAAGGUUGAAACUUAAAUGAAUUGACGG
rnacentral:rRNA from 1 species